AAAGAAUAUACACUAUACAGGUGUAAUUUUUUUUUUAAAAGAUAAUACAACUGAAGACCACCAUGACCACAGUGGUGGAUCCAGAAUUUUUCAUAAGUGGGGCCCACCGACUGCCUAAGAGGGGCCUGCUCCUGCCAUGACUCAGUGAUUCCAUAUAUAAUCAACCAAUUCUUUUCCCAAACAGGGGGCCCUGAACUCCUGAUCCCCCCUUUUUUUUCCUCAUUUCAAUCACCCUGAUAUAAAUUUAGUUUUAUCACUUACAAUAGGAAUGGUUUGAAUUCCCCAAUAAUUCUUAUAUACCAUUAAUAUCAACAUAUUUCAUUUUUGAUAAAUGAAAGGCAAAAGUUUUCUAUGGGUAGAAAUGGAUAGUGGGAAGCUUUCAGAUUCACACCAUGCCGGUGGCUGUGUUCAAAGUGCUGGGUUUUUAUUACCCUCGUUGUUUGCGGACUAACUAUUUAGGCCAGUGGUGGAUAAUAGUGUGCGUGCAUUAAUCUUCUAUACCUUCUUAAUCAAUAUAUUCAAAUACUGACGGCAAGUGUGUGUUGUAAUGAUGUAUCAAUGUCUUUUUGAAAAUCACCGUGCUAUUUACAUGUGGGAUCGAGAAUGCAGGGGAAGGAAACUUGUCAAUUAUGUUUAUUUCUAAGCCAAAAUAAAAUGAGCCGCCGUAAAAUUAACCUUGGGUAAUAACAGUGCAUGUAAGGCUCGUCUCGGAGGGGUGUCUUUUUUUCUG
rnacentral:lncRNA from 1 species